rnacentral:rRNA from 1 species
GGGAUUGCCCUAGUAACGGCGAGUGAAGCGGCAACAGCUCAAAUUUGAAAUCUGGCUCCUUCGGGGCCCGAGUUGUAAUUUGUAGAGGGUGCUUUGGCGUUGGCCAUGGUCUAAGUUCCUUGGAACAGGACGUCACAGAGGGUGAGAAUCCCGUACGUGGCCGUUGGCCUUCGCCAUGUAAAGCCCCUUCGACGAGUCGAGUUGUUUGGGAAUGCAGCUCUAAAUGGGAGGUAAAUUUCUUCUAAAGCUAAAUAUUGGCCAGAGACCGAUAGCGCACAAGUAGAGUGAUCGAAAGAUGAAAAGCACUUUGGAAAGAGAGUCAAAAAGCACGUGAAAUUGUUGAAAGGGAAGCGCUUGCAGCCAGACUUGCCCGUAGUCGCUCAUCUAGGCUUCUGCCUGGUGCACUCUUCUGCGGGCAGGCCAGCAUCAGUUCAGGCGGUCGGAUAAAGGUCUUGGGAAUGUGGCUCUCUUCGGGGAGUGUUAUAGCCCAGGGCGCAAUGCGACCAGCCUGGACUGAGGUCCGCGCAUCUGCUAGGAUGCUGGCGUAAUGGCUGUAAGCGGCCCGUCUUGAAACACGGACCAAGGAGUCUAACAUCUAUGCGAGUGUUUGGGUGUCAAGCCCGAGCGCGCAAUGAAAGUGAACGGAGGUGGGAACCCGCAAGGGCGCACCAUCGACCGAUCCUGAUGUCUUCGGAUGGAUUUGAGUAAGAGCAUAGCUGUUGGGACCCGAAAGAUGGUGAACUAUGCCUGAAUAGGGUGAAGCCAGAGGAAACUCUGGUGGAGGCUCGCAGCGGUUCUGACGUGCAAAUCGAUCGUCAAAUUUGGGCAUAGGGGCGAAAGACUAAUCGAACUAUCUAGUAGCUGGUUCCUGCCGAAGUUUCCCUCAGGAUAGCAGUAACGUUUUCAGUUUUAUGAGGUAAAGCGAAUGAUUAGAGGCCUGGGGGUUGAAACAACCUUCACCUAUUCUCAAACUUUAAAUAUGUAAGAAGUCCUUGUUACUUAAUUGAACGUGGACAUUUGAAUGUACCGUUACUAGUGGGCCAUUUUUGGUAAGCAGAACUGGCGAUGCGGGAUGAACCGAACGCGGGGUUAAGGUGCCAGAAUGUACGCUCAUCAGACACCACAAAAGGUGUUAGUUCAUCUAGACAGCAGGACGGUGGCCAUGGAAGUCGGAAUCCGCUAAGGAGUGUGUAACAACUCACCUGCCGAAUGAACUAGCCCUGAAAAUGGAUGGCGCUCAAGCGUGCUACCCAUACCCCGCCGCCAGGGCACAUAUUAUGCCCUGGCGAGUAGGCAGGCGUGGAGGCUUGUGACGAAGCCUGGGG